rnacentral:rRNA from 1 species
AGAGUUUGAUCAUGGCUCAGAACGAACGCUGGCGGCAUGCCUAACACAUGCAAGUCGAACGAGACCUUCGGGUCUAGUGGCGCACGGGUGCGUAACGCGUGGGAAUCUGCCCUGGGGUACGGAAUAACAGUGAGAAAUUACUGCUAAUACCGUAUGAUGACGUAAGUCCAAAGAUUUAUCGCCCUGGGAUGAGCCCGCGUAGGAUUAGCUUGUUGGUGAGGUAAAAGCUCACCAAGGCGACGAUCCUUAGCUGGUCUGAGAGGAUGAUCAGCCACACUGGGACUGAGACACGGCCCAGACUCCUACGGGAGGCAGCAGUGGGGAAUAUUGGACAAUGGGCGAAAGCCUGAUCCAGCAAUGCCGCGUGAGUGAUGAAGGCCUUAGGGUUGUAAAGCUCUUUACCGGGAAGAUAAUGACUGUACCGGGAGAAUAAGCCCCGGCUAACUCCGUG